GCCAUUGUCUCUGGUUCUUCGUUGCCUUUGAAUGGGACCCUUGAUACAAGGCUUUCAUAGACCAGCCGGUGCUGAUGGGGUCCGGGACUUGACGAUGGCGCCUGCUCGUUCCUGUUGUGUUCUAUCUGAGGCAUGAUUUUCUUUCGUUUUUGGGAGGUAGAGAGCACGGGGCAGAGGUUGCACCUGACACAUUAGAACUCCGUUGUCACUGCUGUGGCUGUUAUUCCCCUCGGCAAGAGCCAAGGAGCAAACAGGACGUGAAGAUCCCGGUGUUACACAUCCAAUCGUUCACCUCCUUCCAAGACUAUGACAUUCCAGGAAACCUUCACUGCUAAGAGGAACUAAGAUCUAGAGUAUCUCCUCGAGGAAGUACAACUGCAUUAUAAAUUAAGGAGGAAUAGUAACAAAGAGCUUGAAGACAUGCACAGCUCACAGGCCCCGGGUGGAGGCUGGCGACAUCAGACAGACAGAACCAAGACAUCUGAGGGGCAACCAGGAGGUGCGUGUGGCUGCAGAGCACACAGACUUGUCUUUGGACAAAAUUGAGAAGAACUCAUAAACUUGGCUUCCUCGCUUCUGCUCCUCAGACCCCUGCAAACAUGACUUACCUUGGAAACUAUAAGAAAGGAUGGCCUUAUGUGAGGACACUCAUCAUCCUGGCGUUAAUGUGCUUCUCUUCUAUUUGGCAUUUGAGUCCAACACUACCUGAUCUCAGUCCUUCUUUUUAGAAUCAAUAUUUCCAUAGCAAGUGUAGCAUCAUCUUAAAUGGGGAAUCCCACUUUUUUUUUUUAAAGCUAGAGAUGGCAGUUUGGUGGGAUUGGCCAAAAAUAAUUUGAAGAAAGAAUGCACUAAGGGUGAAAAUGUUAUGUUUAUAAAAAUAUUAUGAAAGCUAAAUGUGAUGCACUUGAAAAAUGUGGCAGGAUAUUUCACUGUAUAUUCAUGAAAUCUGUAUCUAAACUAUAUCAAUAAAUACUAUUCAAGAGAAUAUAAAAA
ensembl:lncRNA MIR100HG mir-100-let-7a-2-mir-125b-1 cluster host gene